GUACACUCCUACGGGAGGCAGCAGUGGGGAAUAUUGGACAAUGGGCGCAAGCCUGAUCCAGCCAUGCCGCGUGAGUGAUGAAGGCCCUAGGGUUGUAAAGCUCUUUCACCGGAGAAGAUAAUGACGGUAUCCGGAGAAGAAGCCCCGGCUAACUUCGUGCCAGCAGCCGCGGUAAUACGAAGGGGGCUAGCGUUGUUCGGAAUUACUGGGCGUAAAGCGCACGUAGGCGGAUCGAUCAGUCAGGGGUGAAAUCCCAGGGCUCAACCCUGGAACUGCCUUUGAUACUGUCGAUCUGGAGUAUGGAAGAGGUGAGUGGAAUUCCGAGUGUAGAGGUGAAAUUCGUAGAUAUUCGGAGGAACACCAGUGGCGAAGGCGGCUCACUGGUCCAUUACUGACGCUGAGGUGCGAAAGCGUGGGGAGCAAACAGGAUUAGAUACCCGAGUAGUCCCA
rnacentral:rRNA from 1 species